rnacentral:rRNA from 1 species
CUAGUCCUACGGGAGGCAGCAGUGAGGAAUAUUGGUCAAUGGCCGAGAGGCUGAACCAGCCAAGUCGCGUGAGGGAUGACGGCCCUACGGGUUGUAAACCUCUUUUGUCGGGGAGCAAAGAGAGUCACGUGUGACUCAUUGAGAGUACCCGAAGAAAAAGCAUCGGCUAACUCCGUGCCAGCAGCCGCGGUAAUACGGAGGAUGCGAGCGUUAUCCGGAUUUAUUGGGUUUAAAGGGUGCGCAGGCGGAGGGGCAAGUCAGCGGUCAAAUUGCGGGGCCCCCCCCCGUACUGCCGUUGAAACUGG